rnacentral:rRNA from 1 species
UGCGUAGGCGGGGCAAUUAGUCAGUGGUGAAAUCCUGCGGCUUAACCGUAGAACUGCCAUUGAUACUGUUGCCCUUGAGUAUAGUUGUGGUGGGCGGAAUGUGUAAUGUAGCGGUGAAAUGCAUAGAGAUUACACAGAACACCAAUUGCGAAGGCAGCUCACUAAGCUAUAACUGACGCUGAGGCACGAAAGCGUGGGGAGCGAACAGGAUUAGAUACCCUGGUAGUCC